rnacentral:rRNA from 1 species
GACGAACGCUGGCGGCGUGCUUAACACAUGCAAGUCGAGCGGUAAGGCCCUUUCGGGGGUACACGAGCGGCGAACGGGUGAGUAACACGUGGGUGACCUGCCCUCAGCGUCUGGGAUAAGCCUGGGAAACCGGGUCUAAUACUGGAUAUGACUCCAUGACGCAUGUUGUGGGGUGGAAAGCCUUGUGCGGCUGAGGAUGGGCCCGCGGCCUAUCAGCUUGUUGGUGGGGUGANGGCCUACCAAGGCGGCGACGGGUAGCCGGCCUGAGAGGGCGACCGGCCACACUGGGACUGAGACACGGCCCAGACUCCUACGGGAGGCAGCAGUGGGGAAUCUUGCGCAAUGGGCGAAAGCCUGACGCAGCGACGCCGCGUGAGGGAUGACGGCCU